rnacentral:rRNA from 1 species
AAAGGAAUAGACGGGGGCCCGCACAAGCGGUGGAGCAUGUGGUUUAAUUCGAUGCAACGCGAAGAACCUUACCUGGGUUUGACAUCCCCUGACAGCCGUAGAGAUACGGUUUUGUAGCAAUACACAGGGAGACAGGUGCUGCAUGGCUGUCGUCAGCUCGUAUCGUGAGAUGUCGGGUUAAGUCCCUUAACGAGCGCAACCCUUGUCCUUAGUUGCCACCAUUUAGUUGGGCACUCUAAGGAGACUGCCGGUGUUAAACCGGAGGAAGGUGGGGAUGACGUCAAGUCCUCAUGGCCUUUAUAUCCAGGGCUACACACGUGCUACAAUGGCCGGUACAGAGGGUCGCCAACCCGCGAGGGGGAGCUAAUCUCAGAAAGCCGGUCUUAGUUCGGAUCGAAGUCUGCAAUUCGACUUCGUGAAGCUGGAAUCGCUAGUAAUCGCGGAUCAGAACGCCGCGGUGAAUACGUUCCCGGGCCUUGUACACACCGCCCGU